rnacentral:rRNA from 1 species
UCGCGCCUGCUGCUCCCCGUCGGGGAGCAGCAGGCGCGAAACCUUUACACUGCACGAACGUGCGAUAAGGGGACUCCAAGUGCGAGGGCAUACAGUCCUCGCUUUUCCCUACCGUAAGGUGGUAGGUGAAUAAGAGCUGGGCAAGACCGGUGCCAGCCGCCGCGGUAAUACCGGCAGCUCGAGUGAUGGCCAAUAUUAUUGGGCCUAAAGCGUCCGUAGCUGGCCGAACAGGUCCGUCGGGAAAUCCGCUCGCUCAACGAGCGGACGUCCGGCGGAAACCAGUCGGCUUGGGACCGGAAGACCCGAGGGGUACGGCCGGGGUAGGAGUGAAAUCCUGUAAUCCUGGCCGGACCACCGGUGGCGAAAGCGCCUCGGGAGGACGGAUCCGACAGUGAGGGACGAAAGCUUGGGUCUCGAACCGGAUUAGAUACCCGGGUAGUCCAAGCUGUAAACGAUGCUCGCUAGGUAUGGCGCAGGCUACGAGCUUGCGCUGUGCCGUAGGGAAGCCGAGAAGCGAGCCGCCUGGGAAGUACGUCCGCAAGGAUGAAACUUAAAGGAAUUGGCGGGGGAGCAC